CUUAAAACAAGCAAUGAAAAAAAGUUGGAACUUGUCAAAUGGGGAUUGCAUGAGAAUUGGAAUCUUUCAGAUCAUAUCUUUCAUCAACUAUAAAAGAAGAUUGAAGGGGCGAGUCACAUGAAAAUGAAAGACUUCCACCUCCUCAACCACCGGCGAAGGCUAAUGGGACUGCAACACAUAUUCCCAAGAAGUUGACAAGUGACAAUAAUACAAAAAAGGAAAAAUAAAACAUCAGGGGCCAGAGACUGAAAGAAAAGAAGAUAAACAGACAGAGAGAGAGAGAGAG
rnacentral:misc_RNA from 1 species